rnacentral:rRNA from 1 species
GACGAACGCUGGCGGCGUGCCUAAUACAUGCAAGUAGAACGCACAGUUUAUACCGUAGCUUGCUACACCAUAAACUGUGAGUUGCGAACGGGUGAGUAACGCGUAGGUAACCUGCCUGGUAGCGGGGGAUAACUAUUGGAAACGAUAGCUAAUACCGCAUAAUAUUGAUUAUUGCAUGAUAAUUGAUUGAAAGCUGCUAUUGCAUCACUACCAGAUGGACCUGCGUUGUAUUAGCUAGUAGGUGAGGUAACGGCUCACCUAAGCGACGAUACAUAGCCGACCUGGGAAGGUGAUCGGCCACACUUGGACUGAGACAACGCCCAGACUCCUACGGGAGGCAGCAGUAGGGAAUCAUCGGCAAUGGACGAAAGGCUGACCGAGCAACGCCGCGUGAGUGAAGAAGGGUGUCGGAUCUUAAAGCUCUGUUGUAAGAGAAGGACGGGUGUGAGAGUGGAAAGUUCACACUGUGACGGUAUCCUACCAGAAAGGGACGGCUAACUACGUG